rnacentral:tRNA from 1 species
GGGGAUAUAGCUCAGCGGUACAGCAUUUGCCUGGCAAGUGAGAGGCCCUCAGUUAGAUUCCUGUCCCCC